GUGACCCUCGGUGUGUCGUGGGAACACAUUGCACAGAGAACUCCACCACACUCAAACGCUGACAGUGCCUUGCCAGCCCUGGUGGACUUGAAGUUUCGAUGAGCUUUAAGUUCGUGGAGCAGCUUAGCUCUGGGAUUGUGGUAAGAGUGGGAUCUAGAGAGAUGGGAGUUCCUCCUGCAAAUGUGCUCUUGAGCCUAUUUUGAGGUCACUAACCAUGCUCAGCCACAGUGGCCUCUGCAGGUUGAGGAGGGAUUCGCUGUCCUUCCAGAAGCUUCUCUCUAGUUUCAAAUGUCAUACCCAGAUGAAGAAAGGAAUGCUUCCUUUGAAAUUGAUGCCAUCCUCAGAGCCACCACACUGAGUGCGGGCCUCUUGCACCCCCAUGCAGAGUCCUGCUUUGCUCUUCCUGUAUUCCCUGCUGCAAGACCUCAGGGAAUGCCCAUGGACUGGGCACUUCCUGAGCAGGUUUUCACUAAAAGAAACACUCAGCAAAACAAAGAAAGUUCGUAGAGUACCGUCCAGGCCUAGCUAAUGUUUCAUAAGGACAAUAGAAGGCAUCAUUUGUUUUCAGAGCAUAAUUUUAUUAUAUCUUAAUGCAAGAAAAGGUGCCAGACUUACUGACCUCCAGCUUUUCACAUCCUGGGAGGAGAUUGCUCUCAAAGGUACACUCAUCUUAACCAAACUCAAGACAGCGAUGUCUAGGACAAGAAAGCUGACAUGCUGAUCUGUGCUCAAACCAGAGUUGAGCUGGCUCCAAGAGCGUCUGGUCUCCAGGAUCUGCACGGCCUUUGGAAACCAAAGCUCAAUCCCAGGGGCUCAGGGCCAGAGAAUCAAGCAAACAUGCUGGUUACAGAAACUGAAAUUAUUCACUCAUUCGACAAAUAUUAGUCAGCACCUACUCUGGUCUAGCGACUGUUUUCAGAGCUGUGACCAAGACAGACAACGUCUUUGUCGAGCAUGGAGAUUAUGUUCUAGUUAGUCGUAGAUUCUGGGAUUGAACCCCUAGACAAGUGAAGAAGGCAACGUCAAAUAGUAACUGUCAGAAAGGAAACAUAACAGGGGCAUGUGUUGCAGGAGCUGGGAAAGGCUGAGACUCGGAUGACACGAAGGCCCGUCCAUGUGCAGGCCAGGAAGGGUGCUCCAUGCAGAAGCACAGCAGGUGCAAAGGCCCUGAACUGGGGAUGAGGGUGGCUCGAGGAUGCGAUCAAGUUCAACUCACAAAGGGGAAGCCGAUUGUGAAGUUCAGAGGAGAUCCUUCUAGCUUCCAAGGCUGGACCACGGUCUGAGACAGAGGCGAGAAUCAGCAGACGGAACAGGUCAAUAAAGCAAUGCACUGGAAUGUUCAGGA